UUAGGUUGGUGCAAAUGUAAUUGUGGUUUUUGCCAUUGAAAGUAAUGGCAAAAGUUGCAAUUGAUUUGCACUAACCUAAUA
rnacentral:miRNA from 1 species